UUAAGCGACUAAGCGUACACGGUGGAUGCCCUGGCAGUCAGAGGCGAUGAAGGACGUGCUAAUCUGCGAAAAGCGUCGGUAAGGUGAUAUGAACCGUUAUAACCGGCGAUGUCCGAAUGGGGAAACCCAGUGCAAUUCGUUGCACUAUCGUUAACUGAAUACAUAGGUUAACGAGGCGAACCGGGGGAACUGAAACAUCUAAGUACCCCGAGGAAAAGAAAUCAACCGAGAUUCCCCCAGUAGCGGCGAGCGAACGGGGAGCAGCCCAGAGUCUGAAUCAGCUUGUGUGUUAGUGGAACGGUCUGGAAAGUCCGACGGUACAGGGUGAUAGUCCCGUACACCAAAAUGCACAGGCUGUGAACUCGAAGAGUAGGGCGGGACACGUGGUAUCCUGUCUGAAUAUGGGGGGACCAUCCUCCAAGGCUAAAUACUCCUGACUGACCGAUAGUGAACCAGUACCGUGAGGGAAAGGCGAAAAGAACCCCGGCGAGGGGAGUGAAAAAGAACCUGAAACCGUGUACGUACAAGCAGUGGGAGCACCUUCGGGUGUGACUGCGUACCUUUUGUAUAAUGGGUCAGCGACUUAUAUUCUGUAGCAAGGUUAACCGUAUAGGGGAGCCGCAGGGAAACCGAGUCUUAACUGGGCGUUAAGUUGCAGGGUAUAGACCCGAAACCCGGUGAUCUAGCCAUGGGCAGGUUGAAGGUUGGGUAACACUAACUGGAGGACCGAACCGACUAAUGUUGAAAAAUUAGCGGAUGACUUGUGGCUGGGGGUGAAAGGCCAAUCAAACCGGGAGAUAGCUGGUUCUCCCCGAAAGCUAUUUAGGUAGCGCCUCGUGAAUUCAUCUUCGGGGGUAGAGCACUGUUUCGGCUAGGGGGUCAUCCCGACUUACCAACCCGAUGCAAACUACGAAUACCGAAGAAUGUUAUCACGGGAGACACACGGCGGGUGCUAACGUCCGUCGUGAAGAGGGAAACAACCCAGACCGCCAGCUAAGGUCCCAAAGUCAUGGUUAAGUGGGAAACGAUGUGGGAAGGCACAGACAGCCAGGAUGUUGGCUUAGAAGCAGCCAUCAUUUAAAGAAAGCGUAAUAGCUCACUGGUCGAGUCGGCCUGCGCGGAAGAUGUAACGGGGCUAAACCAUGCACCGAAGCUGCGGCAGCGACACUAUGUGUUGUUGGGUAGGGGAGCGUUCUGUAAGCCUGCGAAGGUGACCUGUGAGGGUUGCUGGAGGUAUCAGAAGUGCGAAUGCUGACAUAAGUAACGAUAAAGCGGGUGAAAAGCCCGCUCGCCGGAAGACCAAGGGUUCCUGUCCAACGUUAAUCGGGGCAGGGUGAGUCGACCCCUAAGGCGAGGCCGAAAGGCGUAGUCGAUGGGAAACAGGUUAAUAUUCCUGUACUUGGUGUUACUGCGAAGGGGGGACGGAGAAGGCUAUGUUAGCCGGGCGACGGUUGUCCCGGUUUAAGCAUGUAGGCUGGUUGUCCAGGCAAAUCCGGAUAAUCAAGGCUGAGGUGUGAUGACGAGGCACUACGGUGCUGAAGUAACAAAUGCCCUGCUUCCAGGAAAAGCCUCUAAGCAUCAGGUAACAUCAAAUCGUACCCCAAACCGACACAGGUGGUCAGGUAGAGAAUACCAAGGCGCUUGAGAGAACUCGGGUGAAGGAACUAGGCAAAAUGGUGCCGUAACUUCGGGAGAAGGCACGCUGGUGUGUAGGUGAAGUCCCUGCGGAUGGAGCUGAGACCAGUCGAAGAUACCAGCUGGCUGCAACUGUUUAUUAAAAACACAGCACUGUGCAAACACGAAAGUGGACGUAUACGGUGUGACGCCUGCCCGGUGCCGGAAGGUUAAUUGAUGGGGUUAUCCGUAAGGAGAAGCUCUUGAUCGAAGCCCCGGUAAACGGCGGCCGUAACUAUAACGGUCCUAAGGUAGCGAAAUUCCUUGUCGGGUAAGUUCCGACCUGCACGAAUGGCGUAAUGAUGGCCAGGCUGUCUCCACCCGAGACUCAGUGAAAUUGAACUCGCUGUGAAGAUGCAGUGUACCCGCGGCAAGACGGAAAGACCCCGUGAACCUUUACUAUAGCUUGACACUGAACAUUGAGCCUUGAUGUGUAGGAUAGGUGGGAGGCUUUGAAGCGUGGACGCCAGUCUGCGUGGAGCCAACCUUGAAAUACCACCCUUUAAUGUUUGAUGUUCUAACGUUGGCCCCUUAUCGGGGUUGCGGACAGUGUCUGGUGGGUAGUUUGACUGGGGCGGUCUCCUCCCAAAGCGUAACGGAGGAGCACGAAGGUUAGCUAAUCCUGGUCGGACAUCAGGAGGUUAGUGCAAUGGCAUAAGCUAGCUUGACUGCGAGCGUGACGGCGCGAGCAGGUGCGAAAGCAGGUCAUAGUGAUCCGGUGGUUCUGAAUGGAAGGGCCAUCGCUCAACGGAUAAAAGGUACUCCGGGGAUAACAGGCUGAUACCGCCCAAGAGUUCAUAUCGACGGCGGUGUUUGGCACCUCGAUGUCGGCUCAUCACAUCCUGGGGCUGAAGUAGGUCCCAAGGGUAUGGCUGUUCGCCAUUUAAAGUGGUACGCGAGCUGGGUUUAGAACGUCGUGAGACAGUUCGGUCCCUAUCUGCCGUGGGCGCUGGAGAAUUGGAGGGGGGCUGCUCCUAGUACGAGAGGACCGGAGUGGACGCAUCACUGGUGUUCGGGUUGUCAUGCCAAUGGCACUGCCCGGUAGCUAAAUGCGGAAGAGAUAAGUGCUGAAAGCAUCUAAGCACGAAACUUGCCCGAGAUGAGUUCUCCCUGAGACUUUAAGUCUCCUGAAGGAACGUUGAAGACGAUGACGUUGAUAGGCCGGGUGUGUAAGCGCAGCGAUGCGUUGAGCUAACCGGUACUAAUGAACCGUGAGGCUUAACCUU
rnacentral:rRNA from 1 species